AAUCAACGCUGGCGGCAGGCCUAACACAUGCAAGUCGAACGAACUCUUCGGAGUUAGUGGCGGACGGGUGAGUAACACGUGGGAACGUGCCUUUAGGUUCGGAAUAACUCAGGGAAACUUGUGCUAAUACCGAAUGUGCCCUUCGGGGGAAAGAUUUAUCGCCUUUAGAGCGGCCCGCGGCUGAUUAGCCAGUUGGUUGGGGUAAUGGCCCACCAAGGCGACGAUCAGUAGCUGGUCUGAGAGAAUGACCAGCCAAAUUGGGACUGAGACACGGCCCAAAGUCCUACGGGGGGCAGCAGUGGGGAAUCUUGCGCAAUGGGCGAAAGCCUGACGCAGCCAUGCCGCGUGUAUGAUGAAGGUCUUAGGAUUGUAAAAUACUUUCACCGGUGAAGAUAAUGACUGUAGCCGGAGAAGAAGCCCCGGCUAACUUCGUGCCAGCCGCCGCGGUAAAAC
rnacentral:rRNA from 1 species